UACAGAGGUCUCAAGCGUUGUUCGGAUUCAUUGGGCGUAAAGGGUGCGUAGGCGGCGCGGUAAGUCCGCUCUGAAAGCCCGGGGCUCAACCCCGGGAGGCGGGUGGAUACUGCUCAGCUCGAGUCCGGAAGAGGAGGGUGGAAUUCCUGGUGUAGCGGUGAAAUGCGCAGAUAUCAGGAGGAACACCAAUGGCGAAGGCAGCACUCUGGGACGGUACUCACGCUGAGACGCGAAAGAGUGGGGAGCAAACGGG
rnacentral:rRNA from 1 species